rnacentral:rRNA from 1 species
UACGUAGGAGGCAAGCGUUGUCCGGAUUUACUGGGCGUAAAGCGCGCGCAGGCGGCAGUGCAAGUAAGGUGUGAAAUCUCCCUGCUCAACGGGGAGGGUGCAUUUUAGACUGCACAGCUAGAGGUCGGUAGAGGGGGGUGGAAUUGCCGGUGUAGCGGUGAAAUGCGUAGAGAUCAGCAGGAACACCCGUGGCGAAGGCGGCCCCCUGGGCCGUACCUGACGCUGAGGCGCGAAGGCUAGGGGAGCGAACGGG